UACGAAGGGGGCUAGCGUUGUUCGGAUUUACUGGGCGUAAAGCGCGCGUAGGCGGGUUCUCAAGUCAGGGGUGAAAUCCCGAGGGCUCAACCCUGGAACUGCCUUUGAUACUGGGAGCCUGGAGUUCGGGAGAGGUGAGUGGAAUUCCGAGUGUAGAGGUGAAAUUCGUAGAUAUUCGGAGGAACACCAGAAAGCGAAGGCG
rnacentral:rRNA from 1 species